rnacentral:lncRNA from 1 species
UAAAAAUUAAAACUCUAGUUCAUCAUCAAAGUAUAAGUCUAAAAAUCAUCCUCAAACUCAUCUUCUUCAACAUAAUCCCCAUCGGCCUCCACCUCAUUAUCUUCAACAUCACCUCCAAUUUCUUCAGAGCAGAAAGACAGAAAUAGAAAGAAACAUAAAAGAAACAGAAGAAUCAGAACAGAGCUUGGAGAAGUAGAGAAGAAACAGAAUGAACAUGGAGAAGAAACAGAGCUUAGAGAAGAAACAGAAUCAGGUGAAGCUUUGAUGAGUUGAAGUGGUCGAAGAGACGAGCUUUGAUGAUGAUGAAGCGGCGGAUCGGUGAAAAGGUGAGAGAAUAUGAUGGUGAGAAUGAAGGUUAAGUGUGUUAACAACAAAGGACAUGUAAAAAACCAAUUGUGCCCUUACUAGAAUCAGUCAAAUUUCAAAAAUACCCUUUAAAACCCACUAACAUGAAAUAGAAGUCCUGAUCCACUGAGAUCCGGGAUCUGCUCCGCUCCACCGGGAUCCCACGGGAUCAACGACACUGGAUUAUAUCAUUCAAAUUUUCUUCAAGUUAUCAUAAUUUGAGAAAAUGGAGAAUGCACUAUCAAUUUAAAAUUGUAAUUGUUUUACACUAACAACCAAUUACAAUUUGCCAACGCAAGAAAGAAUCAUGUAACUGCUUGUUAUUUUAAAACUGUCAAAGAUGAUGUGGCAAAAUGAAGAGUUGUUAUUGGAUGUCGGUGUAAAAUAACUUUACACUAACAGUGCAUGUCCAUUAAUCUCUUAUAGUUUAUACAUGUUUUGGGAUUUGUUAAAGGAUAAAGUCAAAUGAAAGUGUUCCAU